AUUGAACGCUGCGGCAGGCUUAACACAUGCAAGUCGAGCGAGCGGCGGACGGGUGAGUAAUGCUUAGGAAUCUGCCUAUUAGUUGGGGACAACAUCUCGAAAGGGAUGCUAAUACCGCAUCCUACUAGAUGAGCCUAAGUCGGAUUAGCUAGUUGGUGGGGUAAAGGCCUACGAAGGCGACGAUCUGUAGCGGCUCUGAGAGGAUGAUCCGCCACACUGGAACUGAGACACGGUCCAGACUCCUACGGGAGGCAGCAGUGGGGAAUAUUGCACAAUGGGCGCAAGCCUGAUGCAGCCAUGCCGCGUGUGUGAAGAAGGCCUGCGGGUUGUAAAGCACUUUCAGCGGGGAGGCGUUACCCGAAGAAGAAGCACCGGCUAACUCCGUGCCAGCAGCCGCGGUAAUAC
rnacentral:rRNA from 1 species